UACGUAGGGCGCAAGCGUUAUCCGGAAUUAUUGGGCGUAAAGGGCUCGUAGGCGGUCUGUCGCGUCGGGAGUGAAAACUCAGGGCUUAACCCUGAGCCUGCUUCCGAUACGGGCAGACUAGAGGUAUGCAGGGGAGAACGGAAUUCCUGGUGUAGCGGUGAAAUGCGCAGAUAUCAGGAGGAACACCGGUGGUGCAGACGGCUCUCUGGACCGUAACUGACGCUGAGACACGAAAGCGUGGGUAGCAAACAGG
rnacentral:rRNA from 1 species